UUCAAUGAGGGGGAGGACAGGGGUAAGGGAGACAGGGAGAAAGGGGGUAGGAGAAAGGAGAAAGGGGGUGGGAGAAAGGAGAAAGGGGGUAGGAGAAAGGAGAGGAAGGUUGGGAGAAAGGAGAAAAAGUUGGAGAAAGGAGAAAAAAUAAAAUAUCUCUCCUUUUAAAAUUUUUUCUAAUAUUUCAAGAAAAUAUAUCUCAAAAGGAGAUAUUUUAUUCUAAUGGGAGAAAGGAGAACGGGGGUAGGAGAAAGGAGAAGAGGGGUGGGAGAAGGGAGAAGGGUACCCCCUGUCCUCCCCCUCUUCAAUGUUGCGCGGUCCGCAUGAAUUGAUGAGGCCCCUCAUGGGGGGGUCCUAGUAAUCACAUAAUCACAAUUUUUUGCCAAUAUAAUCACAUAAUCAUUAAAUAUUUGCUGAUCUUUAGUAAUCAAAUAAUCAUAAACUAAAAAUACAGUCCUAGGUAAUCAAAUAAUCAUGAAAUAUUUGGCUUAAUAAUCAAAUAAUCAUUAAAAAAACGGCCAAGUAAUCACAUAAUCAAAAACCCCAUGAGGGCCC
rnacentral:lncRNA from 1 species